AGAUAAGCAGCAGCAGGAAUAAGAAUGACUCGUCGAGUAGUAGAUCCGUUCUUUUUUGUUAAUACUUUGAGCAGUUAGUUUAGUUAAGUUGGUUUAGAAGAAGGAGCAGAGCUCAUGUGAUCACUAGCAUUCCAAAGACUGCCGCUGUUUUUCUCGUGUCGUACAAGGCAAAUACGAAAUUGGAACGAGAGGAUUCCUAAAUAAUCUCCGCGUCCUAAAUAUCCUUGCAAAUCGAAGGUCUCUUGCCCUUAUCGGCAUCUUUAUGCUUAUCUUCAAGAUUUGGACAUAUUACGUCACUUUGAACUUUACUAACUUUAAUGGUUCAAUAAUCAAGCAUCGAAGCAUUAUUUUGUGGCAAAAUGUUAUGGAGAUGGAUAAGAUGCAUGACUUUCGCAAGAAGGAGAAUAUUUUUUAGAAAAAAUAUGCAAUAAAAUUGUGCAUGUCAGAAUUGUCCAGAAUAUAAAAUUGCCUACAUGCAAGAAAUGUAUUUUUAACUUGAUGCUGCAAUUAGCCUGUUAAAUAAAUAGUAUCAAAGAAAUCUGCUUUUAAAUAUGUGUAUGCAAGAUUGAUGUAUGUAUGUAAGUGUAUAAAACAUGUUAAAAUUCACUAGUUUCAAUGUUCCAUUGCAUUAAAGCUGGGCACCAACUAAUAAAAUUUAUCAAGAUGUAC